rnacentral:rRNA from 1 species
UCAGGCCUAACACAUGCAAGUCGAGCGAGACCUUCGGGUCUAGCGGCGGACGGGUGAGUAACGUGUGGGAAUAUGCCCUUCGGUUUGGAAUAGCCCCGGGAAACUGGGAGUAAUACCGGAUACGGUAUACGGACGAAAGAUUUAUCGCCGAAGGAUUAGCCCGCGUUGGAUUAGGUAGUUGGUGGGGUAAUGGCCUACCAAGCCGACGAUCCAUAGCUGGCUUGAGAGGAUGAUCAGCCACACUGGGAGUGAGACACGGCCCAGACUCCUACGGGAGGCAGCAGUGGGGAAUCUUAGAGGAUGGGGGAAACCCUGAUCUAGCCAUGCCGCGUGAUAAAGGGAGGCCUUAGGGUUGUAAAGCUCUUCAGCUGGAAGAUAAUG